rnacentral:rRNA from 1 species
UACGGGGGGGGCAAGCGUUGUUCGGAAUUACUGGGCGUAAAGGCGCGUAGGCGGCCUGCUAAGUCGGACGUGAAAUCCCUCGGCUCAACCGAGGAACUGCGUCCGAUACUGGUGGGCUUGAAUCCGGGAGAGGGAUGUGGAAUUCCAGGUGUAGCGGUGAAAUGCGUAGAUAUCUGGAGGAACACCGGUGGCGAAGGCGGCAUCCUGGACCGGUACUGACGCUGAGGAGCGAAAGCGUGGGGAGCAAACAGGAUUAGAAACCCCUGUAGC